GACAGAGGUGCCGAGCGUUAGGCGGAAUCACUGGGCUUAAAGGGUGCGUAGGCGGUCCGGUAAGUCCGCUCUGAAAGUCCGGGGCUCAACCCCGGGAGGCGGGCGGAUACUGUCGGGCUAGAGUCCGGAAGAGGCGAGUGGAAUUCCUGGUGUAGCGGUGAAAUGCGCAGAUAUCAGGAGGAACACCAAUGGCGAAGGCAGCUCGCUGGGACGGUACUGACGCUGAGGCGCGAAAGCGUGGGGAGCAAACAGG
rnacentral:rRNA from 1 species